rnacentral:rRNA from 1 species
GACGAACGCUGGCGGCGUGCCUAAUACAUGCAAGUCGAACGCACUCUCGUUUAGAUUGAAGGAGCUUGCUCCUGAUUGAUAAACAUUUGAGUGAGUGGCGGACGGGUGAGUAACACGUGGGUAACCUGCCCUAAAGUGGGGGAUAACAUUUGGAAACAGGUGCUAAUACCGCAUAAAACCUAACACCGCAUGGUGUAGGGUUGAAAGAUGGUUUCGGCUAUCACUUUAGGAUGGACCCGCGGUGCAUUAGUUAGUUGGUGAGGUAAAGGCUCACCAAGACCGUGAUGCAUAGCCGACCUGAGAGGGUAAAUCGGCCACACUGGGACUGAGACACGGCCCAGACUCCUACGGGAGGCAGCAGUAGGGAAUCUUCCACAAAUGGACGAAAGUCUGAUGGAGCAACGCCGCGUGAGUGAAGAAGGUUUCGGAUCGUAAAACUCUGUUGUUGGAGAAGAAUGUAUCUGAUAGUAACUGAUCAGGUAGUGACGGUAUCCAACCAGAAAGCCA